CAAUACGAAUAUACAAUUGCAACGUAUGGAUAAAAAAUCCAAUUGGAUGGUGCAGUGUUAAAUUCUCGUUAAAGAGUCAUUCGAGGUACUUUUUAAGCCGAAUAGAAGUGCCAUCAAAAUAUAACGUUUAUUUCAUUAUGCUCGUUAAUGUAUUCGUGUUUCAUUGCAUUCAUUCGUGAUUUUCAAUGCUUCUUUAUCAGUCACGACGAUCCGUGUAGCUUUAAUAUCAACCAUACGACACAGAAGGAAGGUUUCCAACUGGUCUCGAGGCGGUUUUGAAAUCUUCAUCGAACAAAAUCUCGUGCACGCGAUUAUCCUUUUACACGCGAAUUCCUUGCAAAAAAUAAGAUUCUACAAAACCGACACGAGAUGUCAGGAAAAAAGAUGUCGUAAAAGUCCAAAGUUUUUAAGUUUUUAAUUAUUCUGUAUCUGCCGCCACUACGGAUAUAGCUAGAAAUUUGUGCCAUCGAGAAGGAAGCUGUCAAACGCCAGAUGGAAACAAUGUAACAAGAAAAUUACAAACCACGGUAAACGAGCUGCAUUUUUAAUGUCUCAUUUUUUGCCGAAUCGUUCUCAAUGAACACGUAUAUUAUGCAUGAAAGUGACCGCGAUUCGACCGAAUUUUUUUCCUCCAACAUAAAUGCCGAUUCUCUUAAAUCGUAAACUUUCGAAACAUGUUUAGUAAAGAAUAUCCGGGAAGCUAUGGUUUACAAUAGUCUGGUUAUUUUGUGUAUUUACAAGACAUCUGUUCACUCUCUCUUGCGUACCGAGCAAUCUUUCGUGUUUAAUCUAUGAGAAAGUUGAAUGCGCCCUGUGGAACCUGUUAAUAAUGUCUAUUCUGCGCUUCCGUUUUCAGAUGAGUGCUAUAGUUGGUAAUUCUGUAUUAAGAUAUUUUCUUCUAUAGAUUUUAUUAUAUAUCAUACUCGUUAUUUUAUUUAUUUUCUUUGUUUUUUUAUUAAUUUUCUUUAUUUAUCGUGGAAUAUAUGCGUAAGUGACAAUGAAAAAAUGUCAAUCUUCUUUCGUCCGUGUUAUAAUAUCCGUUUGAAAUACAUUAGAGUGCGUGGAAAUUAGUAAAAUAAAGUUUAACGAUAAAUUUAUGAAUUUAAUAUUAUACGCAAUAGUACUUUUUAUUUUAUUCGAUUUAGGUAAACUUUUAGAUUCUCUGUCUUUAGAUUCUCAAUCUUUCAAAUAGCUUGUUCUUCCUAAUACACUUUCUCUUUAUGAACUUUAUAUCGUAUUGCCAUAUGAUAUGUUAAUAAGUAAAUUUAUGUUAAUAAGUAGAUUUAGUAUGCCACACGAAUAAAGUUAGAUUUAAAAGUACAAAAUAUAUAUCUAAAAGUUCUGGUAUUUAAAAGUCAAAUUUAAACGAACGGAUAUGUUAAAUCAUAGUUUCUCAUUCAACACUUAAACCACUUAAACAAAAGUAAUCAUCAUGCAUAUUUAAUUUCAUGUUAGAUACACGCCUCAAUAUCCUCAAACAUUAUCUUCAUACUUAAAUAAAAACCAGAAUGUAUAAGGUGCAAAAGGUCGAGUAGUUUUCCGCUUAAUUCAAUUUUUAAUCCGCACAAUUCAUAAUUAAAAUUAAUAUACGCCCAAGAAAUUAAGAUUCUUACAUAGUAAUCUUAAUUUCGUUCAUCUACAUUGAUAACAAUCAACCAACCGCUACGUGUAUAUAUUCUAACCGAAACUAAAAUAUUUAUUUAUCGUUAUUUUAUAAUGAACAACAUAUAAAAACGUUAAAAAGAAUAUAUCUAUAUUCAAUUAAUGCAGAGUUUGUCAAAUAAUUGCUUACGAAGAGAACGAAAUAUUUUAUAAAAAGGAAAAAAUACACGUGACGAUAUUUAUGAUUUUUACCAAUAUUUCAAAUAUUCGUUUCGGUAUUCAUCUCUUGUUAACUCGAAAGUAUAAUGCUCUUUGCAAAGCUGGCAACGAAUACCACGACGACGUAGAAAAUAUGGCUCGUUUACGUUGUCACAUUACGCCCGGUCAUGUAACACAAUGUAAUUUGUUAGUGAAAACUCUCAGUGAAGAAUCAGUCGUUGGAUGAAUGCACGCGUUUGUUCGUAAACAUAAAGCGUGUUCUCGACGAGUGAACGCGACACCGCAGCUCGAAUAUCUCUGGCAAUGAUCGCGAACAACGUGUCUGACUAUCGUUACUUUUAAUGCUACGUACCACUUGGCUGCGGCUUGUCGUCUGAUUGUGAAGCCCUCGCGAUACGCGUUUAUUGAGCGAUCGCAAUCAACGUUUUGAAAAGGUCGCGGCGGGUGCAGGAAGUCGGCCGAUUGUCGAUCUAUCGGCACAUUCUUCUCACGGUCGUGUAUCCACCAGCAGCGAAGUCACCUUAUUCUCAACCUCGAUCGCCGAGCGUGCCGAGAACACCACUGACACUGAACAAACCGCACCGUAACCAGACGGUCCAAAGCGCCGCUCGAUAGAUCGAAACACGUUCUCGUACUACAGACUAGCGAUGGACUCGAGUUUUUAUUUUCACUUCGUCUCUUCGUGCCAAUCUUACUUUUCUGCUUACGCAUACAGUAACACGCAUGAACAUUCGAAUACCACGGUAUUCGCAAGAUUAUUGUCCUAUAUAUAUAUAUAUUUGUUUACAGCAACAUUAUUCAAUUAAUUGUUUUUUAGUAUAUUAAAAGACUUAUUGUAAUUAGUAGAAACGUAAAUUUUAUUUAUUUAACGCAGCUUUUUGCAUAUUAAGCAGUAAAAUAAAGAACGUCAGAAUUUAAAUAUAUACAUAUUAAUUAUACAUAUUCUAAAUAUGUAAAAUGUAUAGCGUACACAUAUGUUUUAUGUAGAAUUAAUGUAACUUGCUUAUUACUUGAUUUAAUGUAAAAUCAGAUUAUAUUGAUUAACGCGAAGUGUUUCAUAUAUUUCAUGUUAAAUUUCGACGUUACUUGGUUUAUCGCUUGUGAUGCAAAAAACUGUGCGCAACAGAUAAAAUGUGUGUUUUUAUUAGUUGGAAUAAAUGUUUUGAUAUAUCAAAAAGAAAUUUUUUAGAAUUUAGCAAUGCUGUUAUAAACAAAUAUAUGAACCCCAGAUGCCUAAAUAUUGAUAAGAGUCAUUUUAUGCUCAAUUAUAUUAUCGUUGGUAUUCUUGAUAAUAUACAUAUUAGUAUAUAUAUGUACCUGACUCUGCUACGUUCUUUUCGUCAUUUUCGUCUCGAUUAUAUUUUUCUUAUGAAAAAGGAUAUCUUUACAGUCUGGCCAAACUAUGAAAAAUGUCUCAUGUGUACUUCCUCGUUUCAACGGUAUGUUAAACGUCUUCUUGAAACAUUACAAAUUCUUUUUUUGACUAAUAUGAGGGCAAAAUUGAAAUAUAAAAAUUCGAAGAUCGUAGCAAAGUUACAGACGACAUAGAAGAAUAUUUUAAAAUAUAACUGGUCCAUAUUUUGAUUUUCUGGCUGUUGUGUCACUUGACGACUAAAAACGAAGUGUUAAAUUAUAAAACCAACAUUCUUAAUUCAAAUAUAUAUUAUUAAAUUAUUUCAACUUUCUCAAAAUGUUUCUGCCUUCCAAUUGCUAUUGUUUUAUCGCUUGUAUAUAUUUCAAAAUUUUUGCGAAUUUUAUUUAAACAUUUGUCUUUUUACAUUUUUUACAUAAAAUUAUUAAAUUAAAAUUACUAGUUGAGAGAUAUGUGUUAUUGAACAUUGCCGUGUCAUGAAUAUUUUUAAAGGUCAUGUGCGUGAGAAAAACAUUUUGAAAGAAUAGAAACUGAUUAGCAACAAGUGUAAAUCUAUUAACAUACAUAUCUUAACAGAACACUUAGAUAUGAAUAUUAUUGGAUCAGGUAUAAGUUCGUUUUCUCAAACUUUCUAUUCUUCUUAAUGUAUGAUCUAAGAUAAAGAGUACAUUCUCCAUGCAUCAAGAAGAUACCUAUUAUAUCGUUAUUAUAAUGUAAAUAUUAAAAUUCAGAGAUUUAUUGACAUUUAUUGAUAAAAUGUAAGACUUUGGAAAAAUCAUAAAGAUGACUGUGUUUCGGUGACUAAAUAAUGUAAGUAGGUUACACUGCUAUUGAUGACCUACAUACAUAUGUACAGAAUAUUUUAUUUCGUGCAAACGAGAGAAUUAAUUGUAUAGAAGACGCGUUCCAUAAAUUCUUUAUAUAUUAUAAUGAUGCUAAAAAUAUAAUUAUAAUUAUAAUAAAUAAAAAGUAUUAUGCGUCAGUAACGAAUAUACAAAUAUUAAUACGGAAAUUUUGAUUAUCAAUCGAUUUUUUAUUUGCUGAAAUUACUUAUUACUAAUUCAUAAAUCCACAUUCUACGUGACUGAAGAAAAAAUAUGUAUAGUACACAUUGAAAUUAUAGGAUGAUGUUUGAUAACAGAUUUAUAAAUCGCUUAAAUUUUCAUUCUCAAAUUUUAACUGCGAUGUAUAUAUUUUGGCAAUACAUAUACUGCACAAUAAAUAUUAUUUUUGCAAUGAUCAUAUAUCUGUAAAAUGUUUUUCGAAGCUUCUUUAAAUAUUUUCUAUAAAUAUUCCUAUGUAUAUUAUUUAACUUUCGCGAUAAAAACUAAAUUUCUUCCGUUUCUUUCAAACUUUCAAUUUCUAUUGCAUUCUAUAUUUUCAAAAAUCAUCACAGGAAUAACUUUCGAUGGAAUUAAUUUUCAAUAAGUAAAAGAAGUGAAUUCGCAUUCGACUUAUUUCGUUUAUUAAUGAACUGAUAUUAUCGUUCGAUAUUAUUAAUUCUAUUAUCUACAUCAUCACUAAUUUGAUUUUUAAUCAUUGUAACUGGCAUUGUAGCUGAAUUAAUUUCAAAAUUCUCCAAAACAUUCGUACUGUAACAUCAACUAGACUACUAACUCGAAAAAAGUGAUUAAACAUGAUUUGCAAUUGGUGAAUUUUAGCUGAAUUCGUGUUUCUAUCGAGUUUUUUUUUCAAAGAAUCUUGUUGAUCGGGCAAAGAUAUUCUUAUCUCUAUCAUUAACUACAUUGCUUUAGCAGGUUUCUGCUAACACUACGGUCAAGAACAGCCAGGGCAAAAGGGGGAAAGCAUUGCCACUUUCACCGUUUCGUAGUUUUUUCAGCAUAUCUAAAGAUCCUACAACGUAUACGAACGGAGCCCGUUCAUUGUGAAAGUCUGACAAAGACAUCUGCUACCUCCAAGUCUGAUUAUACAAAGGUCCUUUAUUUGUUCCAAUUUUGUCACACAUUGAUUCUGUGUCCUAUACGGUGGCGAAACUUUGGAUCAAUCAGCUACACCAGUUCUAUUUCUGAAAAUUCUUUUUAUCCUGGGAGUUCGAAAACUAAGAAAAAUAAUUCCCAAAUAUUUACAAUAUACCUUCUUUUCUUUUUAAAUGCGUAACGGAUUUUAUUUAAAAUUAAUAAGGAACUCUUAUUUGAGAAGCAUUAAAUUGUCGAUUUUGCGAAAUCUAAAUUAGAUCAUGGAGUAUAUUACAGAUUUUAAAUAUGCAAAGAAAAAACAAUAUCAGUAAUAUGUAGAAUGUAGGUUUAUAUAGAAUUUGGAACAGAACGAAAAUAACAAAACAAUUUUUUUUAUAGCCGAUAAUUAUGGUUAUAAGUGAUUAGAAUGAUUAUACCUUAUCAUCAUGUGAAAUUUAUUAUAUAAAGGGCUAAUGCUAAAAUAAUAAUAAUUAAUUAUAAUAUGUAUAAUAAUAAUUACACAUGAGAUGUGAUAAUAAUAAUUAAUUACACAUGAGUAGUUUUCCUUCUAAUAGAGAUGAACGAUGAUCCACUUUCCGAGGCAAAUAUUUAAAUACCUGAUUUGCCGCGCAUUUUUGUAAUUAAAUUACAGUAGUAGACGUUCGUAUGAGACAAAAUCGACAUUAACAAGUGAUAUACCAUAUUACAUACUAAUCGAUUUGUCUUUUCUAGGCUUCGUACUUGCUCCGCGAGCUUGCCAUAUUUUAAGCACCGAUUACAUUCAAGACUUGCUCGUUAACGCACUUUACACUGUUCGCAAGACAAAAUCGUUUACUUACUUUCUAGUUAAGUGACCAUCUUUACGAUAUUUCGGAUUGUAUUCGUUUUCUAUGAUUAAAAGCCGAAACACUGGUAGCACCAACGAAAGGUGCAUUGUUCCUAGAUUAAUUUGAACAAACUAACAAUAAACAUGUUGAAUGACAACACGUCCUUUUCUUCUUGUAAAAAUUGCGUUAAAUGGAUUUUAGAAACAAUUUGAUAUCUUAUUGGAAUCCUUUGCAGCCACAAUAUAUAGGAAAAUAUGUAACUAUCGAAAACAUAUCGUGAGUACUUGAGGGAAUUAAGAUCUAUUUAACGGUUAUUUUUCUCGUACGGUAUAAGAGUUUGUAAUAUAAUAAUAGGACGUGAGAGAGAGAAGAAAGAGAGAAAGAGAAAGUGUGAGAGAGAAGGUACGUAUACUUAUAUUGUGGAUGAAAAGGAAGCUUAAGACAAAUACUAAAUAAUAAUAAAAAAUUAUCGCUUAAAGAAAAAUUUACACGCAAAACAAUAAUAAACGCAUUGAUUCGAGAGUAAAACAUAGCGACGGGCGAAUUUUUAAUUCGCAAGGUACGACGCAUGACUUUACUGAUAAUUAUAAUAACGCACUAUUAUGAAAUGAAUUCAUAGGAUUUUACAAAUCCAUUGUUAAGCUCUAGGGCUCAUUAAAACAUUUCUUAAUUAUUUCGUAAUAUAUUUUAGGUAAGAAUUCAAAUAAAACGUAUUUCGCUUUCAUCAUUUAUCGAUAAAUAGUGACAUCGAUAACUACAUUUUUUAUUCCUAAAUAAAGCCAAACGACGUCAAUUUCACGUCAUAAGAAAUCGUGAAUGCCUUUGAUUGAUAUUAAUAUCGCACGGGCCCAUGAACGGCAGGUACUUAUGUCGCGGUCAGUUAAGUCACCAAAACUUUUUUAUUUUGCAUAUGUUGAAUUAUUUCAAAAUGUAUAGUCCAAUUUAUCGAUUAACGAUAUGCAUAAUUAAAUUGCUACACACACACAGGAACCAAACCAUAAAUUUCGAGUUACUCGUAGAAUUUGUUAGAUAGGUAAGGAAUUUUAAUAAUUGAACAAAACAUACAGGUAUAGUUUCAGUAGUAUUUAUAUAUAGCCCAGUCUUACAAAAAAGUGACCGUAUCGUUCCAAGGGACGGGCAAACAUUGCUCACCUGCGUUAAAACUAACAAUCGGUGUACUGUCAGUUCAAGGUUUUCAUUUCACUGAGAAAGUAGGUAUAUAAUGUUACGAUAUUAUAAGCACAAUAAUUAAAAAUUAAACUAUUAAAUUCAAAUACAAAUCCUACUUUCACUCUCCUAUAUUUUACUUCCAUUUUUAUUUAUGAAAAUCAAAGCGGACAUGUUUCUUUUUUUCCUGAUUUAUAUAUAUAUAUAUAUAAUGUUAUGUGACCACCUUUUAAAUUGCCUCAAUUGCCAUUGUGGCAACGUCUCAAUAUUCGCAGGCCUCUCGGGACGAAGGGAACUUCAGUUUGAUCACAUUUGUCUGAGCAUUCUUCGAGCCCGAGUAUUGGCUUAAGUUUUAAGGUAGACGAGCCAUAGCUAAUUUCAAUCGGUGCUGAUGCAUAAGUGGCAAUAGGCUGGGGCUGCUUGUUGGUGGCUUUUGGAUGUUGGA